UGGGGAAUAUUGCACAAUGGGGGAAACCCUGAUGCAGCGACGCCGCGUGAGCGAAGAAGGUUUUCGAAUCGUAAAGCUCUGUCCUAUGAGAAGAUAAUGACGGUAUCAUAGGAGGAAUCCCCGGCUAAAUACGUGCCAGCAGCCGCGGUAAUACGUAUGGGGCGAGCGUUGUCCGGAAUUAUUGGGCGUAAAGGGUACGUAGGCGGUCUAUUAAGUCAGGUGUGAAAGCGUGAGGCUUAACCUCAUUAAGCACUUGAAACUGAUAGACUUGAGUGAAGGAGAGGAAAGUGGAAUUCCUAGUGGAGCGGUGAAAUGCGUAGAUAUUAGGAGGAAUACCGGUGGCGAAGGCGACUUACUGGACUUUUACUGACGCUCAGGUACGAAAGCGUAGGGAGCAAACAGG
rnacentral:rRNA from 1 species